rnacentral:rRNA from 1 species
AGAGUUUGAUCAUGGCUCAGGACGAACGCUGGCGGCGUGCUUAACACAUGCAAGUGGUGCGACGAACCGGAGCUUGCUCCGGGGCAGAGCCGCGAACGGGUGAGUAACACGUGGGUUACCUGCCCUGAUGACCGGGACAACCCGUCGAAAGACGGGCUAAUACCGGAUGUGCCCGCAAGGGGAAAGGAGGCGCAAGCUUCCGCAUCGGGAUGGGCCCGCGGAGCAUUAGCUUGUUGGUGAGGUAAAAGCUCACCAAGGCUUCGAUGCUUAGCUGGUCUGAGAGGACGAUCAGCCACACUGGGACUGAGACACGGCCCAGACUCCUACGGGAGGCAGCAGUGGGGAAUCUUGCGCAAUGCGCGAAAGCGUGACGCAGCAACGCCACGUGCGGGAAGACGGCCUUCGGGUUGUAAACCGCUUUCAGUUGGGACGAAGCUUCUGCAGUUAAUACCUGUAUGGAGUGACGGUACCUUCAGAAGAAGCCCCGGCUAACUACGUGCCAGCAGCCGCGGUAAUACGUAGGGGGCAAGCGUUGUCCGGAAUCAUUGGGCGUAAAGCGCGUGUAGGCGGCUGAGCAAGUCUGUUCUGAAAGCCCGAGGCUCAACCUCGGGAGGCGAAUGGAUACUGCUCAGCUCGAGUCCGGAAGAGGAGUGUGGAAUUCCUGGUGUAGCGGUGAAAUGCGCAGAUAUCAGGAGGAACACCAAUUGCGAAGGCAGCACUCUGGGACGUGACUGACGCUGAGACGCGAAAGCGUGGGGAGCAAACAGGAUUAGAUACCCUAGUAGUCC